UGCCUAAUACAUGCAAGUCGAGCGGACUGAUGGGRGCUUGCUCCCUGAAGUCCGCGGCGGACGGGUGACUAACACGUGGGUAACCUGCCUGUAAGACUGGGAUAACUCCGGGAAACCGGGGCUAAUACCGGAUAGUUCUUUUCCUCGCAUGAGGAAAAGUGGAAAGGCGGCUUCGGCUGCCACUUACAGAUGGACCCGCGGCGCAUUAGCUAGUUGGUGAGGUAACGGCUCACCAAGGCAACGAUGCGUAGCCGACCUGAGAGGGUGAUCGGCCACACUGGGACUGAGACACGGCCCAGACUCCUACGGGAGGCAGCAGUAGGGAAUCUUCCGCAAUGGACGAAAGUCUGACGGAGCAACGCCGCGUGAGUGAUGAAGGAUUUCGGAUCGUAAAGCUCUGUUCUUAGGGAAGAACAAGUGCCGUUCGAAUAGGGCGGCCCCUUGACGGUACCUAACCAGAAAGCCACGGCUAACUACGUGCCAGCAGCCGCGGUAAUACGUAGGUGGCAAGCGUUGUCCGGAAUUAUUGGGCGUAAAGCGCGCGCAGGCGGUCUCUUAAGUCUGAUGUGAAAGCCCACGGCUCAACCGUGGAGGGUCAUUGGAAACUGGGGGACUUGAGUACAGAAGAGGAAAGUGGAAUUCCACGUGUAGCGGUGAAAUGCGUAGAUAUGUGGAGGAACACCAGUGGCGAAGGCGACUUUCUGGUCUGUAACUGACGCUGAGCGCGAAGCGUGGGGAGCAAAC
rnacentral:rRNA from 1 species